rnacentral:rRNA from 1 species
GACGAACGCUGGCGGCGUGCUUAACACAUGCAAGUCGAACGGAAAGGCCCUGCUUUUGUGGGGUGCUCGAGUGGCGAACGCGUGAGUAACACGUGAGUAACCUGCCCUUGACUUUGGGAUAACUUCAGGAAACUGGGGCUAAUACCGGAUAGGAGCUCCUGCUGCAUGGUGGGGGUUGGAAAGUUUCGGCGGUUGGGGAUGGACUCGCGGCUUAUCAGCUUGUUGGUGGGGUAGUGGCUUACCAAGGCUUUGACGGGUAGCCGGCCUGAGAGGGUGACCGGCCACAUUGGGACUGAGAUACGGCCCAGACUCCUACGGGAGGCAGCAGUGGGGAAUAUUGCACAAUGGGCGGAAGCCUGAUGCAGCAACGCCGCGUGCGGGAUGACGGCCUUCGGGUUGUAAACCGCUUUCGCCUGUGGCGAAGCGUGAGUGACGGUAAUGGGUAAAGAAGCACCGGCUAACUACGUG